GUUGACGCACGUCUCGCUGUGCGCGCGCACGCACGUACACACAUAGCGUCUCCUGUAGCUUUAAACAGCGCUCGCUCACUCGCUCGCUCAGUCAGGGAGGGCAAGAGAGAGAGAGAGAGCGGGAGGAGGAGGAGGAGUGUGAACGUUGCGGAGUUCUCGGGGAUUCCGAGAAUAUACAGUUCAGACUCAGACUCGACAGUGACCGACGAGUUUUUGGACUCUACUUCCAUUUGGCGCCGCUCAAGCUCGGAUAGCGGAAUCAGUGACUUGAAGUGAUAGGGAGAAGAGGAGUGAAAUGACACAUACCAGCAAGCAGAUCUCGCUGGUGGACCAGCAAAGCCAUGAUGUUCAGCAGCAAAACAAGCAUUUAUAACUUUGUUUCUAUGAGAAGAUAUUUCCUAAAACCCUAAAAUGAUCAUAAAAGUGAUAAUAACAAGUUUACAGUUCAAAUAAUAUUUUAAUAGAAGAAUUAAUACAAGUGCUUUUAAAAUGUUAUAAUUUUAAUGUUUCUGCUUUUCAAUCCUCCAGAAGUUAGGCCCCAUGGACUUCCAUUGUAAGUGUCUCACUAUAACGUGAUGUGUCGAAAUUAUUUUGUGGUAAUCAGCGUUAUACCACAGCGUUAAACC
rnacentral:lncRNA from 12 species